CCUAUUAUGACACGACGCCGGCUGUAAAUACCUCUCCAUUUCCACUGUACAGAGCAUCACAUCCCUGUUUUAAUUCUGAACUGAUGUAACGCUGAUUCAAACCGUCAGAUGCGGGUGUAAACAAAUAACUAGAAAACGAUACAAUUCUUACCGUUUUAUUAACCUCCAGAAUGAAUUAAGGCCUAGAAUCCUUAAAGCUCUACCCAUGGCUUUGAUUUUUCUCCUUUCCCCCUGCACAUCAUCAGCAGCAGCUGUACCAAAGCGCGAUGAGGACGAUGAUGCUGUAAAAAAACUCCGCCCUCCUCCUGUCUGUCAGAAUGAGCUCAUUGAAUUUGCCAAGAAAACUGCAGUCUCCUUUUUUAUCCCUCUUCUUGUUUUUUUUUUAUCCGUUUUACUUUCUCCACUCUUUUCACUUUCCCCUCUCGUGGAGUCCACACCACUGUCACAGACCGCACAACGGGAAACGAGCAGACGCUCACAGAAGAUGGAUGGCUCCCUCUGGCGGCCAGACAGAAGUUUUGUCUUUUCCUCUGAAGACAGUACUCUAUUCAAGAGUCAUGUUGUCCUGAUCUUCAUCAUUAUGGUACACAGUUAACACUUCUCAAAUAAGUGAUAAACCUGUCUGUCUAAAGAUUAAACCUAAACUGUAGGUGGUUUUGUUUGAAUGAAGCUUGACUUUUUUUUCAUUUCUGUGUACAGGCAUUUCU
rnacentral:lncRNA from 1 species